rnacentral:rRNA from 1 species
CCUACGGGGGGCUGCAGUGGGGAAUAUUGGACAAUGGGGGCAACCCUGAUCCAGCCAUGCCGCGUGUGUGAAGAAGGCCCUCGGGGUGUAAAGCACUUUCAGUGAGGAAGAACGCCUGGUGGUUAAUACCCAUCAGGAAAGACAUCACUCACAGAAGAAGCACCGGCUAACUCCGUGCCAGCAGCCGCGGUAAUACGGAGGGUGCGAGCGUUAAUCGGAAUUACUGGGCGUAAAGCGCGCGUAGGUGGCUUGAUAAGCCGGUUGUGAAAGCCCCGGGCUCAACCUGGGAACGGCAUCCGGAACUGUCAAGCUAGAGUGCAGGAGAGGAAGGUAGAAUUCCCGGUGUAGCGGUGAAAUGCGUAGAGAUCGGGAGGAAUACCAGUGGCGAAGGCGGCCUUCUGGACUGACACUGACACUGAGGUGCGAAAGCGUGGGUAGCAAACAGGAUUAGAUACCCGGGUAGUC